rnacentral:rRNA from 1 species
GAUGAACGCUGGCGGCGUGCCUAAUACAUGCAAGUCGAGCGAACGGACGAGAAGCUUGCUUCUCUGAUGUUAGCGGCGGACGGGUGAGUAACACGUGGAUAACCUACCUAUAAGACUGGGAUAACUUCGGGAAACCGUAGCUAAUACCGGAUAAUAUUUUGAACCGCAUGGUUCAAAAGUGAAAGACGGUCUUGCUGUCACUUAUAGAUGGAUCCGCGCUGCAUUAGCUAGUUGGUAAGGUAACGGCUUACCAAGGCAACGAUGCAUAGCCGACCUGAGAGGGUGAUCGGCCACACUGGAACUGAGACACGGUCCAGACUCCUACGGGAGGCAGCAGUAGGGAAUCUUCCGCAAUGGACGAAAGCCUGACGGAGCAACGCCGCGUGAGUGAUGAAGGUCUUCGGAUCGUAAAACUCUGUUAUUAGGGAAGAACAUAUGUGUAAGUAACUGUGCACAUCUUGACGGUACCUAAUCAGAAAGCCACGGCUAACUACGUG